UACGAAGGGGGCUAGCGUUGCUCGGAAUCACUGGGCGUAAAGCGCACGUAGGCGGCUUCUUAAGUCAGGGGUGAAAUCCUGGAGCUCAACUCCAGAACUGCCUUUGAUACUGAGAAUCUUGAGUAUGGGAGAGGUGAGUGGAACUGCGAGUGUAGAGGUGAAAAUUCGUAGAUAUUCGCAAGAACACCAGUGGCGAAGGCGGCUCACUGGCCCAUAACUGACGCUGAGGCACGAAAGCGUGGGGAGCAAACAGG
rnacentral:rRNA from 1 species